ACCGCCAGAAAUCAAUAACAAAAACCGAUGUCGCACCGAAAGUGUACCCCCCCCCCUCCCUCAAAACACCAAACCAUCCGCCAUAACUUCAGCGCAAACUAGUAUGGGGCUAAAGGGAUAGCCAAAGCCCGAGAACUGAGGAACUCUGGAUACCAGAGGGACACCCCUCAGAACCCCUAAACAAAAAUCAAAAUCAAAAUCGAUUUAAUGGAUGACAACCGGCACUAGGAUUAUCAUCAUGAGAGCCGAAAUCCAACCAAAUCGUUAAGUUUUAAGAAAAGAAAUUACUAAAAGUCAAUAUAUCUACUAUUUUUUAUUGUGAUAGGACAAAACAAAAGUGAGAUGACACGUUUCCCACGAACAUCAGCUGGGCCGCUGAUGUUCGUUGAUAUUUCCGCACAACUUCGCAACAUCAUCCACGUGAACAUGUUUAAUUCGUAGAAGAGGCAGUGAUUGCCCUGUUGUUAAAGUCUGCAGUAUUUAUGGAUCUUGAACAGUCAAAUCAUCAUUUCUAGAUUUCGGUCUUCCCUAUGGAAAUGGAAUCUUGCAACUUUGCAAAAUUAAUACUGGCAGCAAUUAAUGAAGCUCGAAAUAACAAGAGAAUUGUUGACAUCAUUAAUAUCAAGUGAUUUAGCCUUAAUCAGUGGGAACUGGAAGAGUAUCACAAUGGACAUUAAGACUGGCAGCAGCGAGUGAAUCUCGAAAUGGUGCAGCACGUUGGACAUUACGUUAAGAUGCUGCGAUGUUAGUCAGUGGAGAAGUUCAUCCGGCCUGGAUUGGGUAUCGUCACGGACUCUAAAAUAUGAAAGAUGAACAAUUGAACAUCCCUAUGUGCGUGUGCAGAACACGUAAAACAGUGUAAGGCAUUCAUAGUGGACAGCGGGAUGGAGAUUACGGACCAGUCGUCAUUGCAGCAAUUUAAUCAGCCAAUAAGUUGGGUCUUUUGAAAUAUUCUUGUAGAUAAUAGAUGCGAUUUGGCCGCAAUCUUCUAUCGGUAAGUUACGUUUAGAGUUUAAGUUAUCCUUCUUCCAGAUCAAUUCCAAUAUUGCGAUAGUACCCAGCUGCACGGCAAGUACUUCUCCGUGCAAUUUCGGUUUGAAGAUCCAGAAGUGUUGUGAAGACCUCUUGCACUCUUUCAAGAGGAUAUCUUUAUUGCUGGCUCGAUGGAUGACGUAAUGCGUCGGAAAUCGCUCCAACGACCAGUAAGUUUCCACGUUCGUUUUAAAAAUGACAAAGGAAUGAUGCGAAAGCAAUCCAAUACGUUCUAUGAUGGAGCACAAGAUGACAUACAAACCAAUUAAAUAUCCAGCUAGAAAUGAAACGAAGAAAAAGAAUAUUUGGAAGGAUGUUUCUGAUUGGAAAAUAAUCUUUACUAUCAAAAGUAAUAAAAAUGUAUAAAGCUGAAACUGAGAUAAAGUAUCUGAAGCGCUUAAACGUUGCACUUUACAAAAAAAUGUAUCCACGCUCAUGUGGCAACAACUUGCUGAGGAUCGGGGUUGAUCGGCAGCCUCAUCAAAAUAAACUUGAUCAUCACUUUUGACAAUUCGCAUCACGAACAUGAAUGUUUGUCCACGGACUUAGUCCAGUCGUCCGUUUCUCUCUUUGGUACAUGUCACGAACACUCUCGAGGUCCCUCGAGCGUUGAAUCGUGAUGCGUUCCAUGUUUAUCUCGAUCGACCACCACCAUUUCAUCGUUUCUAUUACGACGAACGAGUGAUAAAACUUAGCGUUUGUUAACUGCCACCUACAGAGAGGAUUGCUGUAAAGGUAAGCAUGUUGAAUCUCUUCUUCCAUGUUCGUUCCAUGUCCGUCCGUUAAGUUUAACAGUUUUAUAUCAAAUUCUUUAUCCGUAAUGCAAUGGCCACCUGUAUCUGGUUCAUCCGCCCUAGGAUCAAAGUGCAAUUGGCAAGUGUAAUUGCUACCGGUACUUUUGCGCUGCGACAUCGUCUCUCGAUGUUGUGGUGGUGAAUUCACGCACUUGGAAAACAAAUGAAAAUUGCCACUGUAAUUUUUACCCUUUUUAAUGAAGUCGUGCCACUCAACUUGGAUAAAUUCCAUUGAAAUGAAGAGGAUAAAGAGUGAGGGUGUUGACGAAAUGGUGGACAAGUAAGAACCGUCUAGCCACUUAAUCAACUACAUUAAUGACCUACCAUGGGCACCGCCGUUCAAAGCUAUCCUGACCUGUUUUUUUUAUCGAAUUCUUGGCCCCGGCUAUUGCUGCCAGCCCAUAGAUAAGUUGGUUUACUAUUCAUUUAUUUGCACGCAACGUACGAGUGAUAUCAAGAAAAAUGCGCAGUAACGCUAAAGCAAUUGAGCCAGACGCGUGAGCUGAAGAAAAUGUCACAACCAACACAGUGCGCCGUACCGGAGACGCCCGGGCAGCUGGACCAUAAAACACCAAAGCGCCUUGAGCAUCAAAAUUGGACUAAAUUUCUUGUUCACGUAAAGUACGAGGAUUACAGCAUAUCUGCGAUCUUUGCUUCAGAUCCGCAAUUCACUAGCACAGAGGGGAAUGUGAGCUUCAAAAAUCAGUGUUUCAUGCCCAAUGAACGCUCACAUUUCAUCAUUCCAAAUACAAUCGUUGCGAGCGUUUCGGCAUUUGGGAGUCAGUUUUGGAUUCAUUCAGAUUGCCUGAUUGAAGCGAGUCAUAAACCUUGACAUAAGCAACAACGCCCCAUUUUAUUUGCUGUUGCGACACUCCUUCGAGAUAAAAGAAAGUUCUCCCCUACCCACUCCCCACACGUCUAUGUCUUCAGGAUCGAAAAGGACAUUCAGAUAAGUCGAAGCAAAGGGAAAGGGGAGAGCAAAUGAUCCAUGAUGGCUGCCAUAGCAAACCCUUACUCCUUUUUUUUUACAAAGCGUCAUACAGACGCGAGGAUUGUCGCCAUCGGGACUUGACAGCACUUCACUUCAGCGUGCAUUUUGCCCGUCUUUCAACGCCUCAUCAGUGAUGCUUUGUGUUUGCAGUGGAAGAUUUCAUCACCAACCACAACAUCCUCAUUACAGUUGUUGGCAGUGAACUAGUGAACUGAAAUUUUCAAAAAAGGGCCAGUGGUGUUAUUUAUCGAAGACAUGGCCAGUUCCCUGACCACAACCGCCUUUACAGUGGCAAUGUAAGAUGUCGUAACGUCCUAGCCCGCAGUACGGAGUUCCAGCUGUGCCAUCACGACAACAGCAAUCGGUUUUCCUUGUAGCAAGUAACAACAAUCAGCAUAAAUUAACCAUCAGUCCUUUGUCCACACGUCAUCGCAAGAAUAGCGAAAACAACAGAGAUGCCGCACGAAUAAAUUUGGCAUCGCUGUUGGCUUUUUUACAUGUAAGGACAGUAAGGACAGAAGAAAACAAGAGAUCAUUCAUCUUGGUGAUUUCGACCUGUUCGUGUUUUCAUGGUCGUGACGAUUCUGUGUUUACUCAAUGCUCUAAUUCUGUACUUGUAAUUUCUGUUUAUACUUGGAUAAGGGUACAGUGUGAGUUAUCAAUUCGACUAGUGCUAGAGUUCUCUGUCUUGUAGUGGCAAUGUCAUGUGUCUUAACAGAUGCUGCAUUUAUUGUGAAAAAAAUAUAUUGCGAACGACGUCGUCGAUGGAUUGGUGCUGAACAAUCUGUAGACUAGCUCAAUGCUCCUUCACCCAGUUCACCAUGUACGUUUUUAUUAACAAGUGAAAAAAGAAAAGACUAAACGAUCAGCUGAUUUCCAUUCGGUGGUGUUGAUGGCAGGAGUGCAAAAACCACAAAGUAACCACCUAUUGUAAACCGAACGUCUGUCGAUGGCUGUGCUGUGUUUAAAUAAAAGAAAUACUCUAUUCCAAUUUCGGGUACUCCCUUGCAGUCGGUUGAAAAUUUGUCAAGUGCCAACUGUAUGACGGGAUUUUGGUAGUCGGCAUGGAUGAUUUCAUUUGCCACAAAGUAGUCAUCCAAAAUAUGUGAAGUAUAAAUGUGAUAUAAUUGUGUUUCGAAUAAAUAUUGUGAAUUGCUCUAAAUAUUGUUCUUAUCGCCAUUAGAUGUUAAAAAAUAUAUAUUUCAUCAUCAAA
rnacentral:misc_RNA from 1 species